UCAAAUGCGAUGAAGAGAUGAGUAGAUAAAAAGUAUUCUUUCACAGAGAGCUCCGGCAGCUGAAAAGGAGCAAAGAAUUUUUUGUUGAAUAAAGACUCAGAGCAGCACAUCGGAACUUUAAGAAUUGAGGGAUGGUGUGACAGGAGCUCCUGUUACAGAGCAAGAGUAUAAGCGGAUGCGCAUGAGUGAAUGCAGUAAUCCUUAACUCGAAGAGGCUGGUAUGGCGACAUAUUGGCGAAUCUGGGUGGUACCACGAGUGUAACAAUCUCGUCCCUGAG
rnacentral:ncRNA from 1 species